rnacentral:rRNA from 1 species
AACGCUAGCUACAGGCUUAACACAUGCAAGUCGAGGGGCAGCAUAGAAGUAGCAAUACUUUGGUGGCGACCGGCGCACGGGUGAGUAACGCGUAUGCAACCUACCUAUCAGAGGGGAAUAACCCGGCGAAAGUCGGACUAAUACCGCAUAAAACAGGGGCACCGCAUGGUGAUAUUUGUUAAAGAAAUUCGCUGAUAGAUGGGCAUGCGUUCCAUUAGGUAGUUGGUGAGGUAACGGCUCACCAAGCCGACGAUGGAUAGGGGAACUGAGAGGUUGGUCCCCCACACUGGUACUGAGACACGGACCAGACUCCUACGGGAGGCAGCAGUGAGGAAUAUUGGUCAAUGGGCGGGAGCCUGAACCAGCCAAGUCGCGUGAAGGAAGAAGGAUCUAUGGUUCGUAAACUUCUUUUGCAGGGGAAUAAAGUGCAGGACGUGUCCUGUUUUGUAUGUACCCUGAGAAUAAGGAUCGGCUAACUCCGUGCCAGCAGCCGCGGUAAUACGGAAGGUCCGGGCGUUAUCCGGAUUUAUUGGGUUUAAAGGGAGCGUAGGCCGGCUUUUAAGCGUGUUGUGAAAUGCCGCGGCUCAACCGUGGCACUGCAGCGCGAACUGGAGGCCUUGAGUGCGCGGGAGGUAGGCGGAAUUCGUGGUGUAGCGGUGAAAUGCUUAGAUAUCACGAAGAACUCCGAUUG